rnacentral:lncRNA from 1 species
GCUAAUUACAGACGUUUUUGGCUGCUUUUAUAGAAAAAGAAAAGGUAUUCUUUGUUCUGUGUUCUAUUUGCAGUUAUAUUAAUCUGUAAACCUGAUGAUGGCCGCUAACGCAUCCAAAAACGUUCAUAAUUGGCAAUAGAGGACAUGUGGCUGCUGCUGAGGAGUGCUGCAUUGUUGUUUUUUAGUAUCAUUUAUAGCCUUAAAUUUUUCCAAAAUAGCCCUAUCUAUGCAAUCAUUCUGUUUAUCAUUGUGCAUAUUCAUGAACAAAUAUUCUUUGAGUUUACAAAAAUAUCUGUAAUGAACUUUUAUAGACACAAACUAGCCAUUUUCAGAUUUUAUUCAAUGUUUUUAUUCACU